rnacentral:rRNA from 1 species
GACGAACGCUGGCGGCAGGCUUAACACAUGCAAGUCGAGCGGGGAAGGGUAGCUUGCUACCUAACCUAGCGGCGGACGGGUGAGUAAUGCUUAGGAAUCUGCCAUUUAGUGGGGGACAACAUUCCGAAAGGAAUGCUAAUACCGCAUACGUCCUACGGGAGAAAGCAGGGGAUCUUCGGACCUUGCGCUAAAUGAUGAGCCUAAGUCGGAUUAGCUAGUUGGUGGGGUAAAGGCCUACCAAGGCGACGAUCUGUAGCGGGUCUGAGAGGAUGAUCCGCCACACUGGGACUGAGACACGGCCCAGACUCCUACGGGAGGCAGCAGUGGGGAAUAUUGGACAAUGGGCGAAAGCCUGAUCCAGCCAUGCCGCGUGUGUGAAGAAGGCCUUUUGGUUGUAGAGCACUUUAAGCGAGGAGGAGGCUACUAGUACUAAUACUACUGGAUAGUGGACGUUACUCGCAGAAUAAGCACCGGCUAACUCUGUGCCAGCCGCCGCCGUAA